rnacentral:rRNA from 1 species
AUUGAACGCUGGCGGAAUGCUUUACACAUGCAAGUCGAACGGCAGCACGGACUUCGGUCCGGUGGCGAGUGGCGAACGGGUGAGUAAUGUAUCGGAACGUGCCCAGUCGUGGGGGAUAACGUAGUGAAAAUUACGCUAAUACCGCAUACGAACUAUGGAUGAAAGCGGGGGAUCGCAAGACCUCGCGCGAUUGGAGCGGCCGAUAUCAGAUUAGGUAGUUGGUGGGGUAAAGGCCCACCAAGUCAACGAUCUGUAGCUGGUCUGAGAGGACGACCAGCCACACUGGAACUGAGACACGGUCCAGACUCCUACGGGAGGCAGCAGUGGGGAAUUUUGGACAAUGGGCGAAAGCCUGAUCCAGCCAUUCCGCGUGCAGGAUGAAGGCCCUCGGGUUGUAAACUGCUCUUGUACAGAACGAAAAGGUUUCUACUAAUACUAGGAGCUCAUGACGGUACUGUAAGAAUAAGCACCGGCUAACUACGUGCCAGCAGCCGCGGUAA